rnacentral:rRNA from 1 species
AUGAACGCUAGCUACAGGCUUAACACAUGCAAGUCGAGGGGCAGCACAGUGUAGCAAUACAUGGGUGGCGACCGGCGCACGGGUGCGUAACGCGUAUCCAACCUUCCCGUUACUCAGGGAUAGCCUUCCGAAAGGGAGAUUAAUACCUGAUGGUAUCAGAAUUUCGCAUGUUAUUUGAACUAAAGAUUUAUCGGUAACGGAUGGGGAUGCGUACCAUUAGAUAGUAGGCGGGGUAACGGCCCACCUAGUCUACGAUGGUUAGGGGUUCUGAGAGGAAGGUCCCCCACACUGGAACUGAGACACGGUCCAGACUCCUACGGGAGGCAGCAGUGAGGAAUAUUGGUCAAUGGCCGUAAGGCUGAACCAGCCAAGUAGCGUGAAGGAUGAAGGUUCUAUGGAUUGUAAACUUCUUUUAUACGGGAAUAACACCAUCUACGUGUAGAUGUCUGCAUGUACCGUAUGAAUAAGCAUCGGCUAACUCCGUG